rnacentral:lncRNA from 1 species
AGAGCAGCGGGAGCGCGGCGCAAGGGCAAAAUGGAUCGUUGGUACCCGGAAGCCCGUUCAAACUGUAUAAGGGUGAUCAGCUAUCACGGAGAAGGCUUUAGCAAGUCGGGGCCAGUGGCGCAAUGGAUAACGCGUCUGACUACGGAUCAGAAGAUUCUAGAAGCCCAUGGAAACAAGGCGAUGACGGCGCUUGAGGGUGACCAGACCUCCUCAAUCAUUCCAUCAGCCACCCAGGACUCAACAGCAGAACCUCAGAGGACUCAGCUGAAAGAGGUUUUCACUCGAGCACUAACCACAGAGAAAUGGGAAGUGCCAUCCUGCUGUCAUACGCAGCCGAUGGCUGGGUAGGACUAAAUGCCCUUCUGUGGUGAGAUGAACCAAGACGGCAGAUGGGGGAAUAACAUCAGUGAGAGAGAGAUUACGAAUGGAUCCUUGUAUUGCAGAUCAAACUGGGUUGUCUCUUCUCAAACCACCCAGGCAGUUUCUGAAUGUCCCAAGAUAGGGGUAGGAGAAAAGAAAAAAAAGACAAAACAGGAGACGGUGGGUAAGAAAACCUAAAAGGCACAAUGAGGCAAAGGCCUAAGAUGGAGGCUGGCUUUGGGAUCUGAAAUCCGGCCACAAUCCUCCUUGUUUUACCUCAAGUCCAAGAAUUGUCAAAAAGAAAACCCAGAAGGGCUAUUCAUUCUAAAUUUUAAAAUCUUUUCUUCCUGGCCUACCAAGUCCUUGUGUUUUCUUUCUAGGCGCCCAUAAAUACAACCCCAUUACAGUUCUAUUUGGCUAAUAAUUUACAGAACAUUUAAAAUACCGGGUAGGUGAACAUCUCUUCAUGGCUUUUGUGUAAGGGCCUGAAGCGAAGAGAAAAACAACUGAUUGGAGAUUCCUAUCUGGCGCCUUCUCCAGGGAAACUGACAACCAGAGAAAUCUGUUGCUAGGAUUUCUAGGACAUCUGGAAAUUCCCUUUUUGUUCUUUCUCAACAAUAUAAAAUGGUAUAUUCGCAAA